GUCCGUUCCACUACGCUUCGCAGCAAACUCCGCCUGACCCUGGGCAGUCCACUGCCAGACGGUUACAAACGUCGCCAUCAAUCCGUUGCUUCCUCCACCUAUAAAAGAGGGACCCAGAUACGUUAUUCGAUAAGCUCAUUUCUUAUCUCAAAACUCUGCUAAAUUCUCCGUUCGAGCACUCCAUUCUUGUUGAGGCAGAGAACUGACUUG
rnacentral:lncRNA from 1 species